rnacentral:rRNA from 2 species
GUGGGAACAUACCCUUUGGUACGGAAUAGCCUCGGGAAACUGGGAGUAAUACCGUAUGUGCCCUUCGGGGGAAAGAUUUAUCGCCAAAGGAUUGGCCCGCGUUGGAUUAGGUAGUUGGUGGGGUAAUGGCCUACCAAGCCGACGAUCCAUAGCUGGUUUGAGAGGAUGAUCAGCCACACUGGGACUGAGACACGGCCCAGACUCCUACGGGAGGCAGCAGUGGGGAAUCUUAGACAAUGGGCGCAAGCCUGAUCUAGCCAUGCCGCGUGAUCGAUGAAGGCCUUAGGGUUGUAAAGAUCUUUCAGCUGGGAAGAUAAUGACGGUACCAGCAGAAGAAGCCCCGGCUAACUCCGUGCCAGCAGCCGCGGUAAUACGGAGGGGGCUAGCGUUGUUC